GUGCUCGCUUUGGCAGCACAUAUAUUAAAAUUAGAAUGAUAUAGAGAAGAUUAACAAAGCCCUCUCGCAAAGAUGACAUGACACGCAAAUUCGUGAAGCGUUCCAUAAAAAC